GACGAACGCUGGCGGCGUGCUUAACACAUGCAAGUCGAACGGAAAGGCCCUGCUUUUGUGGGGUGCUCGAGUGGCGAACGGGUGAGUAACACGUGAGUAACCUGCCCUUGACUUUGGGAUAACUUCAGGAAACUGGGGCUAAUACCGGAUAGGAGCUCCUGCUGCAUGGUGGGGGUUGGAAAGUUUCGGCGGUUGGGGAUGGACUCGCGGCUUAUCAGCUUGUUGGUGGGGUAGUGGCUUACCAAGGCUUUGACGGGUAGCCGGCCUGAGAGGGUGACCGGCGACAUGGGGACUGAGAUACGGCCCAGAAUCCUACGGGAGGCAGCAGUGGGGAAUAUUGCACAAUGGGCGGAAGCCUGAUGCAGCAACGCCGCGUGCGGGAUGACGGCCUUCGGGUUGUAAACCGAUUUCGCCUGUGACGAAGCGUGAGUGACGGUAAUGGGUAAAGAAGCACCGGCUAACUACGUG
rnacentral:rRNA from 1 species